rnacentral:rRNA from 1 species
UACGUAGGGGGCUAGCGUUGUCCGGAAUCAUUGGGCGUAAAGAGCGUGUAGGCGGUCCGGUAAGUCCGCUGUGAAAGUCGGGGGCUCAACCCUCGAAUGCCGGUGGAUACUGUCGGGCUAGGAGUGCGGAAGAGGCGAGUGGAAUUCCUGGUGUAGCGGUGAAAUGACGCAGAUAUCAGGAGGAACACCGGUGGCGAAGGCAGCUCGCUGGGACGGUACUGACGCUGGAGGCGCGAAAGCGUGGGGAGCGAACAGG